UUAAAAACACCAGUCCCAGUAUGAUCACCAAAGUUAAGCAACAUCAAGCCUGGUCAGUACCUAGAUGGGUGACCUUUUGGAAAUACCAGUUGCUGUAAG